UUUUAUUAAUUUGGGCUGAUGUUUAAAUGUUCACCAUUUUGGCCUACAUCAGAAUACUGAGAACAAAACAAUAUUUGCUUAUUAAGGCAUAACACACAACACCUCUUGUGCUAUAGGAAAACACAUAAACAGAGGGGAAAUUGGACAUAGAAUCGCCAAGUAGGUGAACUGAAAAGCACAAAUAACAGUUACUGGAAAAGAACACAACAUCCUUAGCGUUGCGUCGACCACCUGUGGCAAAGGUGAAUGGCUUCCGGUGGUAGAGGUGAACAACAUGAUCGCUCUGUCAUCACACGACCUCGUGUGGAGGAGGUGAAUGGCUUGUGGUGGCAAGGGUGAACGGCUUGAGCGUUGCAUCAUCAAACGGCCUGGGCCAUGAAGGUUCAAGCAGGUUCAAGAAGUGGUGUUGAGAGGCUGUGUGGGACUAUAUUUGUAGUGUCUGAAUAAGUUCAGUAGCUGCUCACCACGCACACCUACUCAACUGCUUCAUGCCACCGUUCCUGCACACACACAACAGACACCAAUUAGCAUGCACAAGUUCAUGUAAAAAGAACAACAAGUUCAUGUACAGUAACAUGUAAUGUUCACAACGAAACCUAAAAAGAUGUGUACUUUGAAAUACUUCAUUAUACUUCCGAAAUACUUCAUUUGUUUUGAAAUAUGAACUUCUAUAUUUAUUUCCAUAGAACUUAUUAUGUUUUCCCUCCAAACUACAAGAACAUGAUUAGUUUACUUACCCACAAAAUAUUUUAUUCAAAUAGUUCCCAAAUACUUUCUAUUUUUUUAUAAGCGAACUGAUGAAAAUCUUCACGGUGCACUUCGGUAUUUUAUUCAAGGUGAACUGAUGUAUUUGCAAUACAUAGUUACAUACUACAUCAAGGUGAUAUCUCUGUACUUACAAACUUUAUGGAAGGUGAACUCAUAAUUUUUCUUUAGAACUUUGUUUCUUUUUUCUUCGAACUGGUACCAAUUUCCACCAUGUACUUGUGUGAUUUUAUUUUCAAACAAUACAAGACAAGAGCUUUAUUUACAUCGUCGAUACAUGUCCAACCAUUUAUUUUCUAGAAAGCAAGCAAAUGUCUUUAUCCUAUUUAUAUAACCCAACCUUUUUUUGUAGAAAUGAAGAACAUAAUAGAGCAAAAAGUAGAAGCUUGAUCCCAAACAGUAUUAGAAUUUUAGUGCGCACAUAAGAAGAAAUAGCAAAUACGAGUGCGGAGCAGCAGCAAUACAGAUAUGUCGAAGUUCUAGAAUUUGAUACAAAAAAUGAAGUAGCUUGGUCUGUUGACAAGGGGUGAAGCCAGAGGAGUGGGGUGACAUCCUCGACAGCUACCUACACGCAGUGCAAGAAUAUGUUUGCAUUUAAGUUCAGAGAACAAAUGCAUUUAAGUAACAAUAAAAUGAGGUUUAGUUUCGGUUGCUGUACACUUGGUGUCCUCCGUUACUUUCAUCUAGUUUGCUGCUGCAUCCAUCAUCCAUGUUAUAAUUGUCAAAGUAAGAUCAUAAUGAUAGUGCACUUUUUUUUGUCAUCCUGCAAGAUGUUCAAGGACCAGGACAACAUGUAGUUUUAGAAUUACAGAUUGUGGUCAGCUAUAGGAUGUUUCUGGUACCAUGUUUUAGCUACGAGAGAGCAACAACAUCACAUCAUGAGAGAGAGGAUGCAGCAUCAACAAUUCAGGAGAAAGAUCAGAGCAUAGCAGGAGUAAAUAUGUUUUGAGGAGAUGAACUGACCAGGAUUUAAAUGAACUCUCACUAGUAGUAAUUUUUGUACUUCGCAUGUAGUACUACAUGGACUUGCUGUAGAUGAAGGCACCGAUCUGGUGUGAUGUACGCGGUUCGAUAUGAAAAAAUAUACAAUCAUUAUGUUUUUUAAUAGUUUUAAUUUUGGCUGAACUUAUCUUUUCUAAUUCAAACUUACAGUUUUUUGUAGGGGCAUGCUGCUGCCCAAGAAACGCCAUGGAGCUUUUCUGAACAAAAACAAACGAAUAAAAAAGGAUCAAACCUUUAAUUCGAACUACUCUGAACUUGUCUGGAGAUUUUUCUUGAACUGAAGUAUGCUUGGAUUGGGAGACCACACUAGAAUAAUUCAGGCAGACAUGAUGUGGAGAUUUCUUCUAAUCCAGGUACCAGGCUAAUGUGUGCCAAGAACAAACACACAUGAACUGAUGAAAAUACACAAGGCGACACUAGGUAUCUUUCGAGAGACGGACUGAGAGGCGAGUGACUAGUGAGAACACACACACAGACUGACUAGAACAAACACACACAAAGUGACGCUCACUUGCGAUUGAGAGGCGAGGCAGACUACGUGGAUCCAUUGACACGAGCAUGCUUUUCCCUCGAGAACGAUUUGACAACUAUGAUUAAGAAUAUAUAGAUCAAAUCCCUCAUUCAACAAUAAGAGCAAAAGCCGUUCAAGUAAACAAAGUGGCCAUCAGCACGCGUAAAUCAAGGCCGUCAGUUCAAGCAUUGUGUGGCCAGCAUGAAAUGUGCUUGAAUAUUAGCUGAACUUUGUACAGGGAUCUAAACUUAC
rnacentral:lncRNA from 1 species